AACGUCUGACACAGGUGCUGCAUGGCCGUCGUCAGUUCGUACUGUGAAGCAUCCUGUUAAGUCAGGCAACGAGCGAGACCCACGUCCACAGUUGCCAGCAUACCCUCCGGGGUGAUGGGUACACUGUGGAGACCGCCGCUGCUAAAGCGGAGGAAGGAGUGGGCAACGGUAGGUCAGUAUGCCCCGAAUCUCCCGGGCUACACGCGGGCUACAAUGGUUGGUACAAUGGGCAUCUACCCCGAAAGGGGAAGGAAAUCUCUUAAAGCCAAUCGUAGUUCGGAUUGAGGGCUGCAACUCGCCCUCAUGAAGCUGGAAUCCGUAGUAAUCGCGUUUCAACAGAACGCGGUGAAUACGUCCCUGCUCCUU
rnacentral:rRNA from 1 species